rnacentral:rRNA from 1 species
AUUGAACGCUGGCGGCAGGCCUAACACAUGCAAGUCGAGCGAGCGGCGGACGGGUGAGUAAUGUAUGGGGACUGCCCGAUAGAGGGGGCUAACUACUGGAAACGGUGGCUAAUACCGCAUACUAUCGGAAAACCCAUAUGGGCUUAGACAGUAGUGUGGGGAAAGGCUCACCUAGGCGACGAUCCCUAGCUGGUCUGAGAGGAUGAUCAGCCACACUGGGACUGAGACACGGCCCAGACUCCUACGGAGGCAGCAGGGGGGAAUAUUGCACAAUGGGCGCAAGCCUGAUGCAGCCAUGCCGCGUGUAUGAAGAAGGCCUUAGGGUUGUAAAGUACUUUCAGCGGGGAGGCGUUACCCGCAGAAGAAGCACCGGCUAACUCCGUGCCAACCGCCGCGGUAAUUC